CAACGAGUGCAUCAUGGUGUU
rnacentral:siRNA from 1 species